AGUAAGAUGAUGGAUAGGAAGGUGUCAGGUAACUCUGUACGUCUCUCUGCCCUGCUGGAUGCUGGGGCAUUAGAGACGAACAGGAUAAGGUUUUUAUCCCCACAUGGGCGGUGGGAGAUCCUCAAAAUAUUGACGUUUCCCUAGCUGGCCAGAUCCUCAUGCAACCCCCUAGAACAAUUACAGCAAUAAUAGAUGUUAUUUAUUGAACAUUUAUUAAAUGCCAAAUAAUAUUCCAAGAGCUUACUCUGUAUUACGUUAUUGACUUCCUACAACAGCAGAGUAGGAUACAGAUGAGGGAACUAAGGUCUAGUGAGAAAUGAAACGAAUUGUUCAGGAUCGGUGGUGUAGUGGGAUUAAAA
rnacentral:lncRNA from 1 species